UUUCCGUAGGUGAACCUGCGGAAGGAUCAUUAUAAAUGAAAAACGAAUAACUUCAGGGAAGAAGGGAACCUGCACGGUGACCUCCCCUGUCGGGCCACCCAAUACCUUCAAAAUGCCGCCGUCCUAGCGGUGGCAGACGAAAAAAAAACAAGAAAAACAAAAUAGAAACAGGCACGGUGGCCCGUUCACCUUCACACAACCCUCCGAGUACCGCUUCCAUGUUGCUUCCCCGCAAAUCCAUCUCUUUGGUGAGCGCGGGGGAGGUCCGCAUCAAAUUCACCUGAAUGUCACAGCAGUCAGACAGCCAUUCAUGGAAACAAUAAAACUUUCAACAACGGAUCUCUUGGUUCCC
rnacentral:misc_RNA from 1 species